rnacentral:rRNA from 1 species
AGAGGGUGCAAGCGUUAAUCGGAGUUACUGGGCGUAAAGAGCACGUAGGCGGUUGAUUAAGUCAGUUGUGAAAUCCCAGGGCUCAACCUUGGAACUGCAAUUGAAACUGGUCGACUAGAGUCGAAGAGAGGGAAGCGGAAUUUCCGGUGUAGCGGUGAAAUGCGUAGAUAUCGGAAGGAACACCCGUGGCGAAGGCGGCUUCCUGGCUUCAGACUGACGCUGAGGUGCGAAAGCGUGGGUAGCGAACAGGGAUUAGAUACCCUGGUAGUCCACGCCGUAAACGAUGAGUACUAGCUGUUGGGAGGCAUAGCCUUUCAGUAGCGGAGCAAACGCAUUAAGUACUCCGCCUGGGGAUUACGGCCGCAAGGCUA